GAGAAUAUAAAUGGCAAUAAAAGAAGAGCUUCAGCAGGGAAGCAACAUAGACACUGUCACCUGGAAAUUAUGAAGAAACACAGAAAAGAAGAGAACCAGAAUCAAAGCAGCACCAGGACCAAGGAAGAAACCAACCUCGACAGAAUGGCAGUGCAUAACCGCUCAUAUCAGAGCUGUUUAGUCCCUACAUUGAUGGAUUGAAGGCCAGAGGUCCAC